rnacentral:rRNA from 1 species
CCUACGGGAGGCUGCAGUGAGGAAUAUUGGUCAAUGGACGAGAGUCUGAACCAGCCAAGUAGCGUGAAGGAUGACUGCCCUAUGGGUUGUAAACUUCUUUUAUAUGGGAAUAAAACGUUCCACGUGUGGGAUUUUGUAUGUACCAUAUGAAUAAGGAUCGGCUAACUCCGUGCCAGCAGCCGCGGUAAUACGGAGGAUCCGAGCGUUAUCCGGAUUUAUUGGGUUUAAAGGGAGCGUAGGUGGAUUGUUAAGUCAGUUGUGAAAGUUUGCGGCUCAACCGUAAAAUUGCAGUUGAAACUGGCAGUCUUGAGUACAGUAGAGGUGGGCGGAAUUCGUGAUGUAGCGGUGAAAUGCUUAGAUAUCACGAAGAACUCCGAUUGCGAAGGCAGUUCACUGGACUGCAACUGACACUGAGGCUCGAAAGUGUGGGUAUCAAACAGGAUUAGAUACCCUGGUAGUC